rnacentral:rRNA from 1 species
UACGAAGGGGGCUAGCGUUGCUCGGAAUCACUGGGCGUAAAGGGUGCGUAGGCGGGUCUUUUAAGUCAGGGGUGAAAUCCUGGAGCUCAACUCCAGAACUGCCUUUGAUACUGAGGAUCUUGAAUCCAGGAGAGGUGAGUGGAAUUCCGAGUGUAGAGGUGAAAUUCGUAGAUAUUCGGAAGAACACCAGUGGCGAAGGCGGCUCACUGGCCCGAUACUGACGCUGAGGCACGAAAGCGUGGGGAGCAAACAGG